CAGUAGCCGCGGGAAUACGGAGGGGGCUAGCGUUGUUCGGAAUUACUGGGCGUAAAGCGCACGUAGGCGGCCUUGUAAGUUAGAGGUGAAAGCCCGGAGCUCAACUCCGGAAUUGCCUUUAAGACUGCAGAGCUAGCAGGUGAGAGAGGUGAGUGGAAUUCCGAGUGUAGAGGUGAAAUUCGUAGAUAUUCGGAAGAACACCAGUGGCGAAGGCGGCUCACUGGCUCAUACUGGACGCUGAGGUGCGAAAGCGUGGGGAGCAAACAGGAUUAGAUACCCCCGUAGUCCCUGUCUCUUAUAC
rnacentral:rRNA from 1 species